UCGGUUCACCGAGAAAUGGGAGUGGCGAACGGGUGGGUAACACGUGGGUAACCUACCCAUCAGCGGGGGAUAACACUUGGAAACAGGUGCUAAUACCGCAUAAUUCUUUUCUUCGCCUGGAGGAAAGAUGAAAGACGCUUUUGCGUCACUGAUGGAUGGACCCGCGCUGCAUUAGCUAGUUGGUGGGGUAACGGCUCACCAAGGCCACGAUGCAUAGCCGACCUGAGAGGGUGAUCGGCCACACUGGGACUGAGACACGGCCCAGACUCCUACGGGAGGCAGCAGUAGGGAAUCUUCGGCAAUGGACGGAAGUCUGACCGAGCAACGCCGCGUGAGUGAAGAAGGUUUUCGGAUCGUAAAACUCUGUUGUUAGAGAAGAAUAAGGAUGAGAGUAGAAUGUUCAUCCCUUGACGGUAUCUAACCAGAAAGCCACGGCUAACUACGUGCCAGCAGCCGCGGUAAUACGUAGGUGGCAAGCGUUGUCCGGAUUUAUUGGGCGUAAAGCGAGCGCAGGCGGUUUCUUAAGUCUGAUGUGAAAGCCCCCGGCUUAACCGGGGAGGGUCAUUGGAAACUGGGAGACUUGAGUGCAGAAGAGGAGAGUGGAAUUCCAUGUGUAGCGGUGAAAUGCGUAGAUAUAUGGAGGAACACCAGUGGCGAAGGCGACUCUCUGGUCUGUAACUGACGCUGAGG
rnacentral:rRNA from 1 species